rnacentral:rRNA from 1 species
UGGGGAAUAUUGCGCAAUGGGCGGAAGCCUGACGCAGCGACGCCGCGUGGGGGAUGACGGCCUUCGGGUUGUAAACCUCUUUCAGCAGGGACGAAGCGAAAGUGACGGUACCUGCAGAAGAAGCACCGGCCAACUACGUGCCAGCAGCCGCGGUAAUACGUAGGGUGCAAGCGUUGUCCGGAAUUAUUGGGCGUAAAGAGCUCGUAGGCGGUUUGUUGCGUCGGCUGUGAAAUCCCGAGGCUCAACCUCGGGUCUGCAGUCGAUACGAGCAAACUAGAGUGUUGCAGGGGAGACUGGAAUUCCUGGUGUAGCGGUGAAAUGCGCAGAUAUCAGGAGGAACACCGGUGGCGAAGGCGGGUCUCUGGGCAACAACUGACGCUGAGGAGCGAAAGCGUGGGGAGCGAACA